GCCCAGCACCGAAUCCUGUACCGUCUUGGUACUAGGAAAUGUGGUGUUUAGGCCGUGCUUUGCGCUUGUAUGACUCUCCUCAAGUCCACUUGAUUGUGGCUUCAGGCCCAGAGAGGGUGUAAGGCCCGUGGAGGCGAGUUGUCUGGUGCCCGGCACGUCCUUAGAGUCGGGUUGUUUGGGAAUGCAGCCCUAAGCGGGUGGUAAACUCCAUCCAAGGCUAAAUACUAGCACGAGUCCGAUAGCGAAGAAGUACCGCGAGGGAAAGUUGAAAAGAACUUUGAAGAGAGAGUUCAAGAGUACGUGAAACCGCUGAGAGGCAAACUGGUGGAGCUGAAAUGGCUUUGAGGAAUUCAGCCCUUCGCGCGAUUGAUGAUGUUGGUUGUGGGAUCUCACGACUCCGCCAGCGUUAUUCGUUUGCGUGAUAGGUGCACUUUCCUCUUAGUCGGACCACGACCAGCGAACUGUCUUGUCUAAGAUUUGUGGAAGGUAGCUUCCGCUUCGGCAGAAGUGUUAUAGCCACUCAUUUGGAGCGAGCGGUGCGUUGGAUAACUUGAUGCCUGCCCUUUGGGCUCGUACGUUGGCUUCUUUCUACGGUGUUUCCGGCUUCACUGCCUCGGCAGGGGUGUUGGGGAUGCUGUGGCUCGAGUCGGCCUCUGCGAUUGGCGUCUACAGUCAGUGGUUUCGAAGUAGGCAGUCCACCUGACCCGUCUUGAAACACGGACCAAGGAGUCUAACAUGUGCGCGAGUCAUUGGGCUCUACGAAACCUAAAGGCGCAGUGAAAGUGAAGAUCCAUUCUGGUGGAUUGAGGUAGGAUCCUGGGUUACGUGCUCAGGCGCACUACCGGCCCGUUCGACAUGUCUUCAUGCGGGCGGAGCAAGAGCGUACACGUUGGGACCCGAAAGAUGGUGAACUAUGCUUGCGCAGGUCGAAGCCAGAGG
rnacentral:rRNA from 1 species